rfam:Cecembia lonarensis LW9 contig000028, whole genome shotgun sequence.
GGGGCUGACCGGUUUUGACAGUAGGUGUGAAGAUCGGGCUCGCAUGCAGGCUGGAGUAUGUACGGCCUUAAAUAAUUCAUGCAAAGAUAAUUGGCGAAACUCGUUACGCCAUGGCUGCCUAAUCUAACCCUAAGGGGAUAGAUACUGCUUAAAGGGUUGAGUCUCUAUAGAGAUUCCCCAGCCACAUCUCACCUUCUGUUGUUUUGUCCGGAAGGAUUUGGGGUGUCGACAAGACAGAGCUGCUUUCCGUGAGGCUACUAAGCGGAACUAAGACCAGUGGCUAAGCCAAACAUCGGUGUGUCAUCCAGCAGUGUUUGGUCGAAAAUCCAACAGGUGACUAAGCAUGUAGACGGUACGGUGUUUCCCUAUCUGGACGCGAGUUCGAAUCUCGCCAGCUCCACUA